CUGCUUUUGUAACAUCUCAGAAGGCAACCAGACGAUGUGGUGACGCUUGAAAAUCGAGCUCUUACAGGCCACCAGGAGGUUGGAGUGAAGUGGUGCAAUCUCAGCUCGCUGCAACCUCACCUAUGCUCAAGCUAUCCUCCCACCUCAGCCUCCCAAGUAGCUGCUCACCUUGGCCUCCUAAAGUGAUGGGAUUACAGAUGUGAGCCACUGCACCCAGCCCUGAUUAAAAAACUCAUACUACCCUGGAACCAGCAUCAGUGCUACGGUGGAACCAAGAAUUCACUUCUGCCUCCAUUGUUACUGCCACCAGCAUCUGUCUACUCCCAAGAAACUAAAUGACAGGCACUGGACUGCUGCUGCAGAAACACCCACAAUUCCACAGGCUUGCUUGCAAAAGUGGUUGAAAAUCACCUCAACUCUUUUCCACCUUCUAAUGUUAGCUUGAACACGGCUAUUGUGGGACGUCACCUUGUUAUCACGUGUGUUCGCAAGUUAUGAGUCUUGUUCUUCUUCAGUGGUUGCAUUAGAAGCAUUGCCUGUGGGAAGGAAUGGAUGCUGCUUAUGAGAGAGGAGCUGGAAGGAGGGCAAAAGAACAUGAAAUCCACAGUCAGUACUGAAAUAACCACAACUAGCUGUGGCCGCUUUCAUUCUCCAACCUGGUUAUAAUCUCCUUGAAGGUGACAACUAUUGUCUCUCACAGGUUUUAAACAUGAGCUAAGUGUAGGUUAUUAAUAAAUGCUUAUUGAGUCACCGAGGGGAUGCACUUAGGAAAAACAACAUGCUUUCCCAAGACCCAAGUUAAACAUUUUUCGUCUAAUCUUUAUUUAACUAUUGACAAUAAUUUUCCUUUUUGAUGUCCUGUAUGACUUCAGGGAGCCCUUGAUAUUUCCCAGUUUUAUUCAAUGAAUAAAAAUUCAAAUAAAAAGAACAAGUGAAGAAACAUAGGAAAUAUUUUCAAAAAGAAAAUUAUAUAUUUUAUAUACCCAGAAUUAGAAAGAGAGAAGAGAAAACGAAAAGUGGUUCAAAGUCAAGUAGAGAAAGUCUAUUGAUGAGUUGGAAUAUGAUGGAAUAUGAACUUGAGGGAAUAAAUGUGGUGCUUGUUAUGUUGUCUCCAGGGAUGGGCUAAGAGUGUUAUUUCUUUUAUUCUGAGGGUUAUGGGAGAUAAGGUGGAAGGUGAAGGGCCCCUCAUCUAACUUAAAGAAGAGUCCAAAGAAUAAAAAGGGCAAAUGGUAUCAUGCAGACAAGAGGAUGGAAUUCAGAUACCAGGAUCCCAGGGCCCUGCCAUCCCAGCCAAUAACACCACAAACGGAGACAAGUAUAAAUGAUGCAAAGACUGAACACAUGUGCUGUUUGCAGCAAGAAGCUGGUCGCCUGCAUUCAGUUCUCCAACACCUACCUUCACGGGAAUGAAGUUUGGCAGAAGAAGGAAAUCUUCAGCCCAACCCACCAUGCAUGCAGAUAUGACCACCUAAAGAGGAUGCAUGCAGAUAUGACCACCUAAAGAGGAUGCAUGCAGAUAUGACCACCUAAAGAGGAUGCAUGCAGAUAUGACCACCUAAAGAGGAUGCAUGCAGAUAUGACCACCUACAGAGGCAUGACAAUGAGUAGAGAAAGCACCCUGUAGCCUGUAAACCAUGAAGUAAGUAUGGUUUCUAAGAUUAUGGGUGGACUGUAAUCUCUCCCCAGCCAGGUAAGUUAACUACCAUGUUGUGCUUUUAUCUCUGCAAAUUUCCAUUCCUUGUGAAAUGCAUGUACAGUGAAAUAAAGAACUCUAAAAUCAUGGCUAGUACCUAAUCUUAAAUGCUAGUUAUGUAUAUAUGUAUUCAUUCACUCACUCAUUCAUUCAUUCACUUAGCAUAGAAUGUUGCUUUGAUUGGAAAAAAACAACAGCCCCAAUCUUGAUAUCCUUACUAUUUAAAUAUUAACCUAUUAACCUGCCAGUGUGAGGAUGCCAAAAAACUUGCUUCUGACUUAUUUUCAGUCACUGCUAUUACCCUAUAAGAGUCUUCCAGACCCUGGAAAAUGUGAACUCUUUAGCUGUGCUCUGAGAAAAUGCAUUUUAUCUAUCAUGUUACAGGGGGAAAAAGCUCUCCAAUCUGAAAAUUCUGUUUGUCAUUGGAAAUAGGGGUGAAUUAUUCCUCCACCCUGAGGGAGUUUCUAUUCCUAUGACACCAUUCUUUUUCUGUCUUUUCAGGGUUAGUUAGGUCAGAAGAUUCUAUGUGUUUUCUUAUCGCUUAAAUCUAUCCAUAGUUGGCAACAAUUACUGCAGUUUCAAUAAGUCAUAAUUGUCAAAACUUUGGGAUAAUAAUUACAUUGGCAUAAUCAAUUUAUGUCACUUUGCGUGAGAGGUUUACAAAGCCUCUCAGCCUUCGAAGAUGUUGCUUCCUGAUAUGGUUUGGCUAUGUCCCCACCAAAUCUCAUCUUGAGUUGUAGUUCCCAUAAUCCCCAUGUGUUGUGGGAGGGACCCAGUGUGAGGUAAUUGAAUCCAGGGCACGGUUACCCCCAUGCUGUUCUCCUGGUAGUGAGUUCUCAUGAGAUCCAAUGGUUUUACAAGGGACUUUUCCCCCUUUGCUUGGCACUUCUCUUGCCUGCUGCCACGUGUGAUAUGUCUGUUUUGCCUUCUGCCAUGAUCGGAAGCUUCCUGAGGCCUCCCCAGCCAUGUGCAACUGUGAGUCAAUUAAACCUCUUUUUUUUAUAAAUUACCCAGUCUCUGGUAUGUCUUCAUAGCAGUGUGAAAAUGGACUAAUACAGUUUCCAUUUCCAUCCCAGGACAAGCAGUAUAACAAUGACUAUUGAUGUGAAUUCAGAGCCUGGUGUUGGAAUGCCUGUGCUAUUCAGGUAGAUUCAGAGGCUGGUGCUAGGAGCCCUGUGCUGUUCAGGUUUUAAUGGCCACCAACAGUGGAGCUGGCUUCCAGGCUGUGAAUAGAUUCAUGGAAGAUGAACAAAAACAAAUGAACAAAUCAACAACGACAACAGCAGCAACAUCUGUGCGUACUAUAGAAGCAGAUUUGUAAUUAUUUUGUACGUUGGCUUAAUACUGAGAAAGAGACUGAAUAAUUGUUGCAUUUCUGGCAAGUCUAUAUAUACUGUCUCCUGACGAAGGACCCUCCAGCAACUUCGGGCUGAAAUGAAGCAGAUUCACUCAGUCCCCACAAACUCUCAGAAAUGUGCAUCUGGAAAAAAAAAAAAAAAGUGACAGGGACUGAGUGCCAGAGAUACUCCCCAGGAACUCUCCCCAGUCUGUGGUGCAAUAUGUGGUCUGACCCAGCUGGACACCAGGCAGCACUUGGCCACCAGCCCUUCUGGCUGGACUCCUCCCCAAGGAAGCUGCCCAAUUUCCUUGUGGAAGAAGUGUCUGAAGGCCACCUAUGGGGAGCAAAAUUUGAUGGAUGAAGGUUCUAUCUAUGAAUAAGAAAUAAAAUAAGAAAGUGAUAUUUUCA